GUCUCUCCUCAUCAUCUCGAAGCACUGCAGUUCUGAUCCGUUCUGUAAGAACAAGGACAACCAUUGCAGGGUUGUUAUUGCUUGCAUAUUAACUGUAGUUUUUGAAAGAGGAACACGAUAACCAGGGCUUACAUGCGUGGAAUAGCUGCAUUAUUAUUGCCAAUUAAAUACAAAUUCAAACAAGUCUACCCUGUGGCAGGAUCAUGGGGUACCGUCGCUACUUCAACUCCAAAGAAACAAGAGAACAAUGAUUCGGGAGCAGGGACGCGAGUUUUGAAUGAAAAGACAGAUCCUAUUGCUGCCUUCAGCAGACCACCUUCACUCCCACCUGUUCUUGGACCGCUGGUGGCUCUCUCAUUGUUCGAAAUGUGGUCAAGCCAUGAUGGUGAUGAUGACUGAUUGACAAUGCAAAGCCAUAUCUACCGUUUAUGUACGUAAGGAUCUUUGUAGUGUUUCCUGCCUGAUGUAUUUCUUUGAAAUGUUGAUUAGCAUGCUUAUAGCAAUGAUAAACAGUCGAGCCAUGAAAUACCAAAUUCUGAUUCUGAUGUAGCCUGCUGGAAGUGGAUGGAUAAUAGUUGUCAAGAGUCUAGGGUAAAUCUUCAUUAAAAACUGUACUAUGGCAUGAUGACUCUUUAGGAAUCCUGCAGAAAAGAAAGAAUGACG
rnacentral:misc_RNA from 1 species